ACCUAGAAGUGUGCCAAAAAGCCCAGCUGCUUCAUACCAGGUCAAAAAGAAUCCUAUUUGCACCGUUCUCUUAAUAGAUCUGACUACCUUUAAUUUUUUUUAUUUUUUUUAUUUUUUUAUUUUACUUGAUAUUUAGGCCCUAAUUGGACCUGGAUAUCAGUUACUUUACCCAUUCUUAAAAUGUUACAUUUGCUGUAUUCCACCAAUGUGGUACCAGUGUCUGGACAAUCUGCUUACUUCGAGAAUGUUCUCAUUGACAAUGUGAUUAAAUAUGUUGAAUUAUUUUACAAUAGUUUUCAUUUUAUUUAUACAUUGUUGAUUUUUUUUUUUUUUUUUUUUUUUUUUGUGCAUAACAUCUCUACUCUAUUGAAAACGGACAAAUAUAUUACUUGAUUUCAGGUCAAACUGAUUAUUUUUCAUCUCCAGCGUAUCCUCUUUUUGUAGCAGCAAGCUGCUCCUUUUUCUAUUCUCAAUUUCUUUAUAAAAUGGAAGAGGCUUUUUCUAUCCUUUUUUAGAGGAUAUGACUCAUCUAGAUUUCUUGCAGCUAUCAAUUUAUCCCUACAUUUUCUGACCUUAAGAAAAGGAUUUUUUUUUUCUAGAUUGGUACUUUUCCAACAUUCCUUUGAUUAUUUUGUUUGUUUGUUUGUUUAUGCUGUUUGUUUUUAUCCAUUUAGAUCUAUUUUCUAUUUGCUUGAUGUUUCCAGCUCUUAAAAUAUCCUUUCCUACAUUACAUGGUUGAUAGAAUUUUUUCUAUAAUAUAUCACUAGACAGAAAAAAAUGAUUUUUUUGUUUACUGUUCCUAGCUAUUUUCCCAUAGAGAGCAUGUACAUUGCAGUACAAUGCACUAAAUCAUUUUUUUUUUUUUUUUUUUUUUAAAAAAAAAAACAAUGAUGAGGGUUUUUCCUGUGCUUUGGUCUAUCGUACAAUGCCAAAGGUAAAAUUUCUCAUUUAAUCUUAUUACUAGUGCCAGGGGAUUAAUGUCAGGUGGCACUUGUGGUGACAGUGAAAAGAUUAAAAAAUAAUUCCAUUAAA